CUGGUUGAUCCUGCCAGACCCGACUGCUAUCGGAUUGGGACUAAGCCAUGCGAGUCAACUCCGCAAGGGGUGGCGCACGGCUCAGUAACACGUAGUCAACCUACCCUGGGGACGGGGAUAACCUCGGGAAACUGAGGCUAAACCCCGAUGGGCCAUGGCUCCUGGAAUGGGCUAUGGCUGAAAUCUACAUGGCCCCAGGAUGGGACUGCGGCCGAUCAGGUUGUUGGUGGGGUAAUGGCCCACCAAGCCUAUAACCGGUGCGGGCUCUGAGAGGAGGAGCCCGGAGAUGGGCACUGAGACAAGGGCCCAGGUCCUAUGGGGCGCAGCAGGCGCGAAACCUCCGCAAUGGGCGAAAGCCCGACGGGGUCAGUCCGAGUGGUUCCCGCUGAGGGAACCUUUUGCCAGCUGUAAACAGGCUGGCGAAUAAGGGGUGGGCAAGUUUGGUGUCAGCCGCCGCGGUAAUACCAGCACCCCGAGUGGUCGGGACGAUUAUUGGGCCUAAAGCAUCCGUAGCCGGCCCAGUAAGUCCUCCGUUAAAUCCAACGGCUCAACCGUUGGGCUGCGGGGGAUACUGCUGGGCUAGGGGACGGGAGAGGCGAGGGGUAUUCCCGGGGUAGGGGUAAAAUCCACUGAUCCCGGGAGGACCACCAGUGGCGAAGGCGCCUCGCUAGAACGUGCCCGACGGCGAGGGAUGAAAGCUGGGGGAGCGAACCGGAUUAGAUACCCGGGUAGUCCCAGCCGUAAACGAUGUAGGCUCGGUGUUGGGCUGCCUCAGUGGCAGCCCAGUGCCGCAGGGAAGCCGUUAAGCCUACCGCCUGGGGAGUACGGCCGCAAGGCUGAAACUUAAAGGAAUUGGCGGGGGAGCACCAC
rnacentral:rRNA from 1 species